CGUGAUCUUUGCUUCUGUGAAGGUCCCGGUAGGUCCGUCGGUGAACCAGAUUUGGCAGGUGGGUCCAUCGGUGAACAAUGGGUUUCCGGCCAAGCACAAUUUCGACAAAGCAAAUCUCCAGGCCAAGGGAACACUGCAACUAGUGGCUUCACAGAGCAGUGGCGGAAAUACUACAACCGGAACUGGUUCUGAUUCUACUACUGGCAGUUCUUCUCGCACUAAUAGUACUGGUGCUGGAUCCAAGAUUAAGGAGCUGAAUGCUGGUUUUCACUUUGGGCUUCUUGCUCUUCUAGGAAGUCUUACAGUUUUCUGAUUUGGUGAUUUUGAUUUUGAG
rnacentral:misc_RNA from 1 species